CCCUCCCACACCCCACCCACCUGCCCCAGCCCAGGGAAAGUGAGUGAGGGUGUGGGAGAACAAGCGACAGAGGGCGGGGGGAUGGAGCAAGCAGGGGUGCGGUCUCGGGGAAGCGGCAGGGCAGGGGGCGGGGAAGGGAUGUUUGGUUUUGUGCGAUUAGAAAGUUUACAACCCUAUUGGGUGCCUAACUUCCAUUGAAGUUCAUUUUGAAAUGUCUGAACUUUGAACUUUUGAAAAUCCUACUUGGUGCCUACUUGGUGCCUAUCUGCAUCUUUAGGUGUCAAAAUACCUUUGAAAAUCUGGCCUGGGUGUAUGUCCUGGGUAUUAAGGGAAAGAUUUUCCUACUGAAUCAGAAUGAAAUGUUUGGCAAAACAAACUGUUCUUACACCAUAAUGCUAGAGACUACAUACUCUUAUUUAUUUAUUUUUUUGUUGGCUGAUAAAAUAAUUGCUAAAGGUCAUGUUUUGGGAUCAUUAGGCGGCUUUCGGAAUUGCCAGAAUGGUGAGAAAGAGUCAGUGAAAACAUUACAUUUAAAGAAGAGACCAAUAACUAACAUAACGAGCAUUUGUGAACUUUGGGUGUUUGUUGUUUUAAGAGCAACAUGGACAAUCCAUUCAUCAUUGUUGCUGCUUCAGCCUUGCCAAGGUACAGAAGUUCAACAGAAUCCUGUUAAAAUGCAAAGCUAGAAUGUUUAAACAGAAACUUUCUGAAAAGUGUCUUUAGCAUCAGAGGACUGUCUUAAGUAAGUAUCUUAGUAUUGUACAGCUUAGAUUGCAUGUUGUUUGGGGUGUGCAACUGGCACAAGCUCUUUUUCUGUAGUGCCUGCCAUGCACCCCAACUAAGGUGACCAGAUGUCCCGAUUUUAUAGGGACAGUCCUGAUUUUUGGGUCUUUUUCUUAUAGAGGAUCCUAUUACCCCCCACCCCCUGUCCAGAUUUUUCCCACUUGCUGUCUGGUCACCCUAAGCAACAAAUAUUAACAUGUUGUGCCUCCACAAGUCACAUGGAUGGGAGGGCACGGAAGAACAUUAGAGACUCCUCUGAGAGCUGAGAGAGGAGCAACAGCAGUCAGGACCAAACGUAAUUAAAUAACUAACUCCUCUUAUCAAUGCUACUAUUGUUUUCCCACCUCCCUUUGUAGCUGUAAUUCACAGGUUUUAGAUUGUAAAGCACUUACAGGCAAGGACCAUGUCUUUGUGACUGGGUAAAUAAUUGAUGUUACUAGUAAUAAUUAAUCUUCAUUGCCUAUCUCAUCACUUUUGAAGAGCCAGCAACCUCUUUUUUGAAGGAUUUGAUCUAAAGCCCACUGAAAUCAGAGGGAGUCUUUCCAUGCAAAUAGAAUAUUGAUCAGAUCCAGAUAAAGAUGCUAAAUUUACUUGAAUUUUUAGCUCUACAUGAAAUAAAUGAGCUGUUUUCUUCUUAAAAGUAAACCCC
rnacentral:lncRNA from 1 species